AUGAUGUGUUCAUUACCAUUUGUGUCAUCCCCUGUAUGGUACUUAAGCUAUUCCUCUGAAUCUGCUGAAAAUUGUCUCACCCUCGAGAUCUUCAAUAAAAGAAAUCAACAUUUUGGUGAUUUAAAGUUCUUUUUUAUAUGUGAUGGUCCUAGCAUUCCAAAAAAAUAUCAGAAAUAUUCUGAACAUAAUCUAACGACAGUGGAAAAAGUAAUAUACACAUGUAAUAUUCAUCUUCACUUAUUACCUGGGUUCACUGGAUAUGACUACCUCAACAUCUGCACAUGUUUCUUUUCCCUGCAGCUAAGGAGCAAAAAUGAUAUUCAUUUUCUUCAGAUGUCUUGA
rnacentral:rRNA from 1 species